rnacentral:rRNA from 1 species
UACGUAGGGCGCAAGCGUUGUCCGGAAUUAUUGGGCGUAAAGAGCUCGUAGGCGGUUUGUCACGUCGGCUGUGAAAACCCGAGGCUCAACCUCGGGCCUGCAGUCGAUACGGGCAGACUAGAGUGCUGUAGGGGAGACUGGAAUUCCUGGCGUAGCGGUGAAAUGCGCAGAUAUCAGGAGGAACACCGGUGGCGAAGGCGGGUCUCUGGGCAGUAACUGACGCUGAGGAGCGAAAGCGUGGGGAGCAAACAGG